rnacentral:tRNA from 1 species
ACCCUAGUGAUGCAAUGGGUCCAUGUGUCUGGCUGUUAACCAGAAGGCUGGUAGUUCAAGCCCACCCAGGGAUG